CCCCCUGUUGCCCAGCUCCAGAAAUAACAGUAGAGCAAAGUUUCCAUGUUGACUCUGUCCUGAUUGCCAGCUCAGUGGUUUAUCACAAACUGUAGCAGGCAUCGAAACCACAGUAAUUCACAAGCAGCAGUAAGUCAGCUGAGACAUUUGCAGCCUUCCUCUUCCAGAUGUAAGAACUAUACCACUGGCCUCUUCUACAGUGUUCUUGUCAAGAGUGGAGCAGCACCAGCCUCUGUGCCUUCUCUUCCCCCCACUGAGAAGACAAAAUAUACACUUGUUCUUCUCACUGGGACCCAAAGUUGUGGAAUAUCUUGGAGCAGAUCCUCCUGAAAGCUAUGCUAAGGCAUAUGGAAUAGAAGCUGAUACAAGAUAACCAGCAUGGCUUCACCAAGGACAGGUCCUGCCUGAACAACCCUGUGGCUUUUUAUAAUGGCAUAAUUAUAUCAAUGAACAAGGGAAGAGCUACUGAUCUCAUCCAUAAGGGUUUGGACAUGGUCCCUCCAUUACAUCCUUCACUCUAAUUUGGAACUGAUGGGUGCACUGUUCAUUGGAUGUGGAACAGGUUGCAAGAUUGUACCCAGAGAGUGGUGGCUAAUGGCUCUGUGGCCAGAUAGAUGUUGGUGACAAUUGGUGUCCCUCAGGGACUGUGCUGGAAACAAUGCUCAAUUUCUUCAUGAAUGACAUCAACAGUGGGAUUGAGUGUACCUUCAACAAUUCUGUGGACGACGCCAAGCUGUGUGGUGUGGCUGAUGUGCCCAAGGAAUGGGAUGACAUUGAGAGAGACCUAGACAGGCUCCAGCAGUGGGCCCAGGUGAAGUGCAAGGUCUUGCAUCUGAGUUCCAGCAACCCCCACAGCAGUACAAAUAGGGUGAUGAAUGGAUAGAACGCAGCUCUGUUGAGAAGGGCUUGGAGAUACUGGUGGAUGGCAGCUGGACAUGAGCCAGUGAUGUGCCCUCAUGGUCCAGAUAGUUAACCAUAUCCUGAACUACAUCAAAAGAAGUGUGGCCAACAGGGUGAAGGAGCUGAGCUGAUCCUGCCACUCUGCUCUGUGCUAGUGAGAGUGCUUGGAGUGCUGUGUCCAGAUGUGGAGUUCUCAGUACAGGAGAGAUGUGGACCUGUUAGAGCACAUCCAAAGAAGGGCCUCAAAAAUUAUCCAAGGGAUGUAACAUGUCUGCUAAGAGGACAGGCUGAAAUAGCUGAUGCUGUUCAGCCUGGAGAAGAGGUGGUUUUGGGGGGACAUGACAGCAGCCUUAAAAUUAAAGGAAGGAAGAUUUAGACUGGUCUUAAGGAAGAAAUUUUUUUUUACAUUAAGGGUAGUGCAGCACUGGAACAGUUUGUCCAGAGGUUAUGAUCAGAACUUUCUGAUGUUCACAAGUCUUAUUUAUAUGGAUUUCAGGUUUGCAAAGAUAUGCAAAAACAGUAACUAUUCAUCUGUGAACUGAAGUCUGAUGUAAACCAGUGACCUGGUAUAAAUCUUUUAACAAAAUUAAUUAAUUUUAAGACCUUUGACUUAGGAAACUCCAACUAUUCAGUUGAUCAUGUUAUACCUGGGAAACUUCCUGGCUUUGAAAGGAAGAAAGAUAGUUGAUCUAUUUUGAAAUUUGCACAUGAUAAAGCCUGUAGUGAACUUAUAAGCAACAUAAAGAUUAUACUGUGAUUUUUCAGCUUGAUUAAUGUAAGUUUUGGAACUCCUUUUUUGUUCUUCACAGAACUGAAAAGUAUGAUCCUGCCUAUCUAUAUGCACGUAUCUCGUCCAUGGAAUAUUCUAUCUAAAUACAUUCUGUGCGAGAUUCUGGAUUUAUUAUUCAGUGGAAAGGAAGCUUCAAGCCCUGUGUGACAGAAAACAAGUUGUGUUCUUUUUUAGAAUUAUUUAACUAUUAACUCCUGACAUGGUAAAACCAGAAUUUCAAGAUGUGUUGUUUUAAGAACUUCCUGUCCUUUGAGUUGUGCCAGGGUUACUAGGAUGAAAAUGAGCUGCUAAC
ensembl:lncRNA